UUACCUCAGUAACGGCGAGUGAAGCGGUAACAGCUCAAAUUUGAAAUCUGGGUCUUUUAGGCUUGAGUUGUAAUUUGUAGAAGAUGCUUCGGGUGUGGCCCCGGUCUAAGUUCCUUGGAACAGGACGUCAUAGAGGGUGAGAAUCCCGUAUGUGACUGGGUGCUUUCGCUCAUGUGAAGCUCUUUCGACGAGUCGAGUUGUUUGGGAAUGCAGCUCAAAAUGGGUGGUAUAUUUCAUCUAAAGCUAAAUAUUGGCCAGAGACCGAUAAGCGCACAAGUAGAGUGAUCGAAAGAUGAAAAAGCACUUUGGAAAGAAGAGUUAAACAGUACGUGAAAUUGUUGAAAAGGGAAGCGCUUGCAAUCAGACUUGCAUACCGUCAAUCAUCCAGGGUUCUCUCUGGUGCACUUGGGCGGCGUUCAGGCCCAGCAUCGGUUUCGGGGGGUGGGAUAAAGGCCUUGGGAAUGUAGCUUCUUUCGGGAAGUGUUAUAGCCCCUCGGUGCAAUGCCGCCUCCCCGGGACCGAGGACCGCGCUUCGGCUAGGAUGCUGGCGUAAUGGUUGUAAGCGACCCGUCUUGAAACACGGACCAAGGAGUCUAACAUUUAUGCGAGUAUUUGGGUGUUAAACCCAUAUGCGGAAUGAAAGUGAACGGAGGUAGGAACCCUUAAGGGUGCACUAUCGACCGAUCCUGAUGUCUUCGGAUGGAUUUGAGUAAGAGCAUAACUGUUGGGACCCGAAAGAUGGUGAACUAUGCGUGAAUAGGGUGAAGCCAGAGGAAACUCUGGUGGAGGCUCGCAGCGGUUCUGACGUGCAAAUCGAUCGUCAAAUUUGCGUAUAGGGGGCGAAAGACUAAUCGAACCAUUGUUGCUAGGUGGUUAAGAGGGGGGUGUAAUUACACCACUAGUCCAGGUCAUGGGCAACGCUAUCAAAUUGUUCGGGGGACGUCCUGUUUUAAAUUCUAAGCUACCCGCUCUCCUCCUUCGAAAGAGGGGUUUGCACCUGGGUUAACGGGCCACGGGUAUGGUAACAAACGUUUAGAUAGGGAUAACCCGCAGCCCAAGUCCUAAGGGCAUUUAGCCUAUGGAAUGCCAGUUCACAGACUAAAUGUUUAGUGGGUUCGGUACUUCUGUACUGGGCUUAAGUUAUAGUCGAUCCGCUGGGAGACCAGUCGAUAUGGUAUAGUAUAUAUGUUUAGACCGCUCUUUAGAGAGUUACCUAUAUAUAAAGGCCUAUCGGGGGUUCUUUAAUUAGACCCUGGGGGAGUUUUAGAGAUUGUAGUCCCAUAUGUUUAGGAGAAGACUCGAGAGCCGAUACGUGGUCAUGUUGGGCCGUUGGUAAAUCGAGGACAUGUGGGGAAUAUAUCUGCU
rnacentral:rRNA from 1 species